AGGGUAAUGGCUUAAUUGGUAAAGCAUGUGACUUUUAAUCACCGGAUUCCGGGUUCAAUUCCCGGUUACCCUA
rnacentral:tRNA from 1 species